rnacentral:rRNA from 1 species
UACGGGGGGGGCAAGCGUUGUUCGGAAUUACUGGGCGUAAAGGGCGCGUAGGCGGCCUUCUAAGUCGGACGUGAAAUCCCUCGGCUUAACCGAGGAACUGCGUCCGAUACUGAAAGGCUUGAAUCCGGGAGAGGGAUGUGGAAUUCCAGGUGUAGCGGUGAAAUGCGUAGAUAUCGGGAGGAACACCAGUGGCGAAGGCGGCUACCUGGCCCACUCUUGACGCUGAGGCGCGAAAGCUAGGGGAGCAAACGGG